rnacentral:rRNA from 1 species
GAGCACGUAGGUGGGUUUGUAAGUCUGACUGUGAAAUCCCUCGGCUUAACCGAGGAACUGCAUCGGAUACUGCGGGACUAGAGUGCAGGAGGGGAGAGUGGAAUUCCUGGUGGAGCGGUGAAAUGCGUAGAUAUCAGGAGGAACGCCGGUGGCGAAAGCGACUCUCUGGACUGUAACUGACGCUGAGGUGCGAAAGCCAGGGGAGCGAACGGGAUUAGAUACCCCGGUAGUCCUGGCCCUAAACGAUGGGCACUAAGUAGAGGGGUUUU